rnacentral:sRNA from 1 species
AUACAUUAUUAGUCAAUGCAUUGAAAAAAA